rnacentral:rRNA from 3 species
GUUGUAUGGUUAAGUGACUAAGCGUACACGGUGGAUGCCUUGGCAGUUGGAGGCGAUGAAGGACGUAUUAACUUGCGAUAAGCCUAGUCAAGCUAGUAAAAAGCACUUGAGACUAGGAUUUCCGAAUGGGGAAACCCACCUGCUUGCAGGUAUCGUUAACUGAAUACAUAGGUUAACGAGGCGAACGCGGAGAACUGAAACAUCUAAGUACCCGUAGGAAAAGAAAUCAA